rnacentral:rRNA from 1 species
CACGCAGUAAACGAUGAUUACUAGGAGUUUGCGAUAGACAGUAAGCUCCCGAGCGAAAGCGUUAAGUAAUCCACCUGGGGAGUACGCCGGCAACGGUGAAACUCAAAGGAAUUGACGGGGGCCCGCACAAGCAGCGGAGCAUGUGGUUUAAUUCGAAGCAACGCGAAGAACCUUACCUAGACUUGACAUCUCCUGAAUUACCCGUAAUGGGGGAAGCUCUUCGGAGCAGGAAGACAGGUGG